rnacentral:rRNA from 1 species
CCUACGGGAGGCAGCAGUGGGGAAUUUUGGACAAUGGGCGCAAGCCUGAUCCAGCAAUGCCGCGUGAGUGAAGAAGGCCUUCGGGUUGUAAAGCUCUUUUGUCAGGGAAGAAACGGUGAAGGCUAAUAUCUUUUGCUAAUGACGGUACCUGAAGAAUAAGCACCGGCUAACUACGUGCCAGUAGCCGCGGUAAUACGUAGGGUGCAAGCGUUAAUCGGAAUUACUGGGCGUAAAGCGUGCGCAGGCGGUUUUGUAAGUUUGUCGUGAAAUCCCCGGGCUCAACCUGGGAAUGGCGAUGAAGACUGCAAGGCUAGAAUCUGGCAGAGGGGGGUAGAAUUCCACGUGUAGCAGUGAAAUGCGUAGAGAUGUGGAGGAACACCGAUGGCGAAGGCAGCCCCCUGGGUCAAGAUUGACGCUCAUGCACGAAACGACGGUGGGGAGGACGAAACAGGAGUUAGUAUACCCUACGGUAGUACCGACCGACCCGUAAACCGUACGUAGUCUACUACGUUAGUUACGGGUUUUAACGUUUAACGUUUA